GAUGAAGAACGUAGCGAAAUGCGAUACGUAAUGUGAAUUGCAGAAUUCAGUGAAUCAUCGAGUCUUUGAACGCACAUUGCGCCCUCUGGUAUUCCGGAGGGCAUGCCUGUCCGAGCGUCAUUGCUGCCCUCAAGCACGGCUUGUGUGUUGGGCUCCGUCCCCCGAUCCCGGGGGACGGGCCCGAAAGGCAGCGGCGGCGCCGCGUCCGGUCCUCGAGCGUAUGGGGCUUUGUCACCCGCUCUGUAGGCCCGGCCGGCGCUUGCCGAUCAACCAAAUUUUUAUCCAGGUUGACCUCGGAUCAGGUAGGGAUACCCGCUGAACUUAAGCAUAUCAAUAAGCGGAGGA
rnacentral:misc_RNA from 1 species